GAUGAACGCUGGCGGCGUGCCUAAUACAUGCAAGUCGAGCGAAUGGAUUAAAAGCUUGCUCUUAUGAAGUUAGCGGCGGACGGGUGAGUAACACGUGGGUAACCUGCCCAUAAGACUGGGAUAACUCCGGGAAACCGGGGCUAAUACCGGAUAACAUUUUGAACCGCAUGGUUCGAAAUUGAAAGGCGGCUUCGGCUGUCACUUAUGGAUGGACCCGCGUCGCAUUAGCUAGUUGGUGAGGUAACGGCUCACCAAGGCAACGAUGCGUAGCCGACGUGGGAGGGUGAUCGGGCACACUGGGACUGAGACACGGCCCAGACUCCUACGGGAGGCAGCAGUAGGGAAUCUUCCGCAAUGGACGAAAGUCUGACGGAGCAACGCCGCGUGAGUGAUGAAGGCUUUCGGGUCGUAAAACUCUGUUGUUAGGGAAGAACAAGUGCUAGUUGAAUAAGCUGGCACCUUGACGGUACCUAACCAGAAAGCCACGGCUAACUACGUGCCAGCAGCCGCAGUAA
rnacentral:rRNA from 1 species